GGGGAUUUAGCUCAGUGGCGUAAGCACCUGCCUUGCAAACAGGCGGUCAUGAGUUCAAUCCCCG
rnacentral:tRNA from 1 species